rnacentral:rRNA from 1 species
CGGGCGGGUGAGUAUCUUGGGAAUCUAGCUUAUGGAGGGGGAUAACUACGGGAAACUGUAGCUAAUACCGCGUAGUAUCGGAAGAUGAAAGUGUGGGACCUUCGGGCCACAUGCCAUAGGAUGAGCCCAAGCGGGAUUAGGUAGUUGGUGAGGUAAAGGCUCACCAAGCCGACGAUCUCUAGCUGGUCUGAGAGGAUGACCAGCCACACUGGGACUGAGACACGGCCCAG